rnacentral:rRNA from 1 species
AGUACCGUGAGGGAAAGGCGAAAAGAACCCCGGCGAGGGGAGUGAAAAAGAACCUGAAACCGUGUACGUACAAGCAGUGGGAGCACAGGUUUACCUGUGUGACUGCGUACCUUUUGUAUAAUGGGUCUGCGAAAUUAGUUGGGUGGAUGCAAAUCUCAGCGUAGCUGAAAUCCGUCAGCAGUUACUCUCUUCUCCGCAUAGCCUGUUCCCGGUAUGUCGGGGCGAGCUGGAUGAAAUUAUCGGUAUCGUUCGCGC